UUGGUGCAUGGCCGUUCUUAGUUGGUGGAGCGAUUUGUCUGGUUAAUUCCGAUAACGAACGAGACUCUGGCCUGCUAACUAGGCGUCGGAAUCUAUUAUGCUUCCGACGUAGCAAUCUUCUUAGAGGGACAGGUGGCUCCUAGCCGCACGAGAUUGAGCAAUAACAGGUCUGUGAUGCCCUU
rnacentral:rRNA from 1 species